rnacentral:rRNA from 1 species
ACGAACGCUGGCGGCGCGCCUAACACCUGCAAGUCGAACGAGCGAGAGAGAGCUUGCUUUCUCGAGCGAGUGGCAAACGGGUGAGUAACGCGUGAGGAACCUGCCUCAAAGAGGGGGACAACAGUUGGAAACGACUGCUAAUACCGCAUAAGCCCACGGCUCGGCAUCGAGCAGGGGGAAAAGGAGCAAUCCGCUUUGAGAUGGCCUCGCGUCCGAUUAGCUAGUUGGUGGGGUAACGGCCCACCAAGGCGACGAUCGGUAGCCGGACUGAGAGGUUGAACGGCCACAUUGGGACUGAGACACGGCCCAGACUCCUACGGGAGGCAGCAGUGGGGAAUAUUGCACAAUGGGGGAAACCCUGAUGCAGCGACGCCGCGUGGAGGAAGAAGGUCUUCGGAUUGUAAACUCCUGUUGUUGGGGAAGAUAAUGACGGUACCCAACAAGGAAGUGACGGCUAACUACGUG